UGUAGAAUCUCCAAGAAAUGAAAAAAAAUACUAUUUUCUGGAUUUUAUUUUUGAUCACCUUGUGUAAGUAAUACAAGCAAUCAUUUUCAUUGUGUUUGUUACUUACAUGGAAUGAUUUAUAAUUACUACAAAGUCUUAAAAUCUAUCAAGGCUUCAACACUAAAAGAAACUCAAUGUAAAAGGUAGCUUCAAUUUUAGAAUAUGAAUUUCUGAAUAAGUUAGUCUUUAACAAUAUUUUUUAACAAUGUUUUACUUGCAUUCAUUAUCUGUAUAUUCAAUACUGUAUUAUACACUGAAAACCGCAUUUUCUUAUUCAUUAUUCAAUCAAUGUAUUUCAUAUUUUUAAGAUACACUCCACCCUGGUAGACGUUGGGUUACUGCACAAUUCCACACAGAGCCACCAGUUUAUCAGCCUGAUGAGGAGCUCACUGUGGGUAUUGGUGGCUCGGCUACUCUGCGGUGUUGUGUUUCUGAAAACCAGAUUGGAAUAAUAGAGCUGUUUAAGCAACAAAACAAGAAAAAACGUCAGAUUAUAGUUACAGUAUAUAAAACUAAUAAAGAAACAUUUUACAGUGGAUUCCAGGAGACUGAUUACCUGAUAGAAAAAUCUUCAAACUGCUUCAGUGUGACCAUUUUACACACAAUUCAGUCUGAUGAAGCCAUGUACUACUGCGCACUGACGAAACCCAACCCUGUGUUUGCAAAUGGAACUUAUUUAAAAGUUAAAGGUGAUAAAUCUUCAUAGGUGAGCAUGUUACUAGUACUACGGCUACAACAUCAGAGACAUCUGAACCAGCUCUGUAUGAUCAUACAGUGACGAGUGAACCUACAGUGCAGCAGAGAAACAGCUCUAUUACUCCAAACAUUAACACACAAGAGAAAACAGUGCUCGGGUUGGGAACGGCUUUGGGUUUGUGUGUAAUUCUAAUUUUAUGUCUGGCUUGUUUCAUACUAAGAGGAAAAUGUGAUAAACCAGACACUUCAACAGAAAACUCUCCAGCAAACAGGCAGGUGGUUAUUUAUGAAUCUGAAGCCGAAACACAAAAUUAUGCAGCGUUGAAAUUCUCCACGAGGAAUGCCAAAGCUGAAAAAAGAGAAAUGGAUUCAGAUAAAUGUGUGUACUCUAAAGUAAAAUUAAACGUUCUACAUGGUUCACCAUAGGAUAGCAUAACCUCUUUUUUUUUUUAUUAUAGCUGAGUUGCAAAUUUCACUUCCGUGCAGCUUGUAUUAAUUAUUUUUUUUCUUGGAAUAAAUAAAUAAAUACAUUAUUAAAAGACAAUUAAAAUAUAAUUUUAAAUUGUUCACCAAAUACAUACUUACAAAUAUAAU